GUCACAAUUGCGAAUACUUCAAAGUUUUGUAUUCGUAUUCUUAGCCUGCGUCCAGGGACUAGAGACGAAGGGAAAUUAAUUCAGAAGUCCACUCAGCAGCUCACAGAUUUUCAUUUGCAACGCUCCGCGCCUUAUUUGGCUCAGAGCCCACUUGCUGUUAACCAUACUGUGAAGGCACUUUACUUGGACGUUCGGAUACUAGAGCCUUGCGCUUCUCUUUGCUCAUCCUUCGCCAUUCCGUUAUUUCUAAAUUUUCGUCCGGCUUCUCAUUGUCCCGCUGCAGCUACAAAAAAAGUGACGGAAUUUUAAUGGAAAAUGCUGCUAACGUCGAAAAAAUGGUUAGGCAAACAGAGAUUUCAAGUAUAGAGGUUGUCUAAGCUGCUUUCAACUCGAAGGACGCGCGGAAAGGAUAUGAUGGGCGCAGUAGCGUAAAUUGAAAACCAGGCGCUGACGUUCGUGCGGCGAUAAACCGACACCGUUAUUCACUAGUCCUGCUGAAACAUGCUUUGAAUGCCUGGCGGCUCAUUUUAAGUGAAAAAUGAGCAAAAAGUGAAAUGAAACAAUGGACAUAGAACCAAGAAACAAAAUUGCGGCCAAGUUGGGUUUUUUGUUCUUGCCCACGUUUUUUGUGGCCAUUUUCGGUGGGUUAAUGUGCUGUUGGGGUAAAGUAAAACAAAAUGACCACUGGGAUAAAAAAAGUUGUGAAAGUGGAAAAUUUUAUUUACAGAAUGCUGAGCCCACAGUUUUUUUUUUUAUUUCUUGUUUAACAGUAAUACGUGACAACUCCUAACAACAAA